AACGCACAUUGCGCUCUCUGGUAUUCCGGAGAGCGUGCUUGUUUGAGUAUCAGUAAAACACCCUCAAUCCUCUCUUUUUCUGAGAGAGAAUUGGAUUUGAGUUAUCCCAACGGCGAUGUUAAAACCGCUGGCGGGUCACUUGAAAUGCAGGUGCGGCUGGACACAUCUUCUGAGCUAUAAGCAUUACUUAUUUAGUCCCGUAAAACGGAUUAUUUCUACUGCUACAGCUAAUAUAAAGGUCGAUUGUCCGUUUGCCCGACUGAUGCAGAAAAAACAAAGAGAAAUCUUUGUUCACUCGAUCUCAAAUCAAGUAAGACUACCCGCUGAACUUAA
rnacentral:misc_RNA from 1 species